GGGGAGUACGAACGCAAGUUUAAAACUCAAAGGAAUUGACGGGGACCUGCACAAGCAGUGGAGCGUGUGGUUUAAUUCGAGACAAAGCGAAAAACCUCACCAGGACUUGACAUGCUAGCGUCCUAUUCCCUGGAAACAGGGGAAAUUCGCAAGAAGGCUAGCACAGAUGCUGCAUGGCAGCCGUCAGCUCGUGGCGUGAGCUGUACCGUUAAGUCGGGUAACGAGCGCAACCCCCAUCAUAUGUUAAAUUAUUCAUAUGAAACUGCUCCGCUUUUGCGGAGAGGAAGGCGGGGAUGACGACAUGUCAGCACGGCUCUUACGUCCUGGGCUACACACACCCUACAAUGGCGAAUAACAACGAGUUGCAAGCCGGUAACGGCAAGCUAAUCUCUGAAAUUUCGCCUCAGUUCAGAUUGAGGUCUGAAAUUCGACCUCAUGAAGAUGGAAUUGCUAGUAAUCGCGAAUCAGCAGGUCGCGGUGAAUACGUUCUCAGGUCUUGUACAAAUUAAAUUGCGCCUUUCGGCCAAUUUUUCCAGAAGGUGACUCGCCUCGCUGAAGCUUUGCGAAGCGGGAAAUCCUUCUAA
rnacentral:rRNA from 1 species